CCACACAUGGAAUACCCUUUAAGGA
rnacentral:tRNA from 1 species